UACGUAGGGUCCGAGCGUUGUCCGGAAUUAUUGGGCGUAAAGGGCUCGUAGGCGGUUUGUCACGUCGGGAGUAGAAAACUCAGGGCUCAACCCUGAGCGUGCUUCCGAUACGGGCAGACUAGAGGUAUGCAGGGGAGAACGGAAUUCCUGGUGUAGCGGUGGAAUGCGCAGAUAUCAGGAGGAACACCGGUAGCGGAAGGCGGUCUCUGGGCCGAUUACUGACGCUGAGGAGCGAAAGCGUGGGGAGCAACAGG
rnacentral:rRNA from 1 species